rnacentral:rRNA from 1 species
AUACGUAGGGUGCAAGCGUUAAUCGGAAUUACUGGGCGUAAAGCGUGCGCAGGCGGUUUUGUAAGACAGUGGUGAAAUCCCCGGGCUCAACCUGGGAACUGCCAUUGUGACUGCAAGGCUGGAGUGCGGCAGAGGGGGAUGGAAUUCCGCGUGUAGCAGUGAAAUGCGUAGAUAUGCGGAGGAACACCGAUGGCGAAGGCAUCCCACGGGGCCUGCUGAGACGCCAAGGCACGAACGCGUGGGGAGAAAACAAGAUUAGACACCCUGUGUGCCCACGCCCUAAACGAUGUCAACUGUUUGUUGGGGAUUUAGUUUCUCAGUAACGAAGCUAACGCGUGAAGUUGACCGCCUGGGGAGUACGGCCGCAAGGUUAAAACUCAAAUGAAUUGACGGGG